AGAUUGAACGCUGGCGGCAGGCCUAACACAUGCAAGUCGAGCGGCAGCACGGGUACUUGUACCUGGUGGCGAGCGGCGGACGGGUGAGUAAUGCCUAGGAAUCUGCCUGAUAGUGGGGGAUAACGCUCGGAAACGGACGCUAAUACCGCAUACGUCCUACGGGAGAAAGCAGGGGACCUUCGGGCCUUGCGCUAUCAGAUGAGCCUAGGUCGGAUUAGCUAGUUGGUGGGUAAUGGCUCACCAAGGCGACGAUCCGUAACUGGUCUGAGAGGAUGAUCAGUCACACUGGAACUGAGACGCGGUCCAGACUCCGUACGGGAGGCAGCAGUGGGAAUAGUUGACAUGGGACGAAAGCCUGAUCCAGCCAUCGCCGCGUGUGUGAAGAGGUCUUCGGAUUCGAAAGCUACGUUUAGGUAGGAGGAA
rnacentral:rRNA from 1 species